rnacentral:snoRNA from 1 species
GAGAGUCGCGUGAUGAUGAGAUAGUGCAUAGUUCAGAUGAUAAACCCCUGAUUAUGUUAUUAGCAAGUCUUUCGCUCCUAUCUGAUGACUCUC